UAGCUUCAGCAGCUCAUAUACUAAAACUGGAACGAUAUAGAGAAGAUUAGCAUGGCCCCUGCACAAGGAUGACACACGACUUCAUGAAGCAUUCCAUAUUCAA